CUCAUCUUUGAAGCAGACCAGUUGAAGCUGAACACUGUCAAAGUCAUAGGCUGAAUCAAUAUUUUAUCAGCUCAGUAGAUGUUCUUAUGUAUUCUUUGCAUUUUCCAAAUGUACUGGAGCCGACACAACAAAGGAGUGAUACACUCUUUAAAGGGAAGAUAAGGAAGUAGGCCCUUUUUAGAAAAGGUACCCAUUGAAAUUACCUUCACCAUAAUUAAGAGAAUGAUUAGGCAAAAG
rnacentral:lncRNA from 1 species